rnacentral:rRNA from 1 species
AACGAACGCUGGCGGCGCGUCUUAAACAUGCAAGUCGAGCGGCAGGACGGGGCUUGCCCCUUCUGAGAGUGGCGGACUGGUGAGUAACACGUGGGUGACAUACCUUUUAGUUUGGGAUAGCUAUUAGAAAUAGUAGGUAAUACCGAAUGUGACCGUACCUGUUAGAGGGGUACGAGGAAAGGAGCUAAGGCUUCGCUAAAAGAAUGGCUCGCGGCCCAUUAUGCUCGUUGGUGAGGUAACGGCCCAGCAAGGCGAUGAUGGGUGUCCGGCCUGAGAGGGUGAACGGACACAUUGGGACUGAGAUACGGCCCAGACUUCUACGGGAGGCAGCAGUUAAGAAUAUUCCGCAAUGGACGAAAGUCUGACGGAGCGACGCCGCGUGGAUGAAGAAUGCCGAAAGGUUGUAAAAUCCUUUUAAGCCUGAUGAAUAAGCACAGUAGGGAAUGAUUGUGCGGUGACCGUAGGGCUUGAAUAAGCACCGGCUAAUUACGUG